CUGAUAUCAUAGGAGAGUAUUGGAUUGACUGAGAUCGUCAAAUCUGAUGAUCUCAGCCAAGGAGGUGGAGCGAGGGGGAGAGUCAAACGCCACCAUGGCCAAUAAGCAUCUCCUCAUAGAGAUGCAUUGAAUCAAUCACACUGUGCAGCACUGCCCCAAGGGCCACCUUUGCCACACUUAUUCCAAUUUUGCUUAAUUGUUU